AGGUCGCAAAAAGAUUACAGCUAAAAAACAACGAAAAGACCAUUCAACAGUAGACCAAACGGCCAAAACAAUAAAACCCGCCCCUAGAAAAGUAAAACCAUAAAUGAAAAGAAAACAAAACCCCCUAAGCUAAGAAAACGAAUUAGAUAGCUAGCAAAAUAUCAACCAAACAACUUCUUUAACCACAGAAAAGAUGAUAAAAAAAAAAAAAACAAAAGGAAACCCAAAAGCUUUGAGUCCAACCAUGGAGAUUCAAAGAACCUUCUCCAUUUUCAAAGCGAUCUACAACAAACUUUGAUGUCUCUGUGCCCAAACUCUCUGAUCUUUCUCCACCAACAUUUUAACAGAAUUCGAGACUUCAUCAACCCAAAACCCAGAGUGUUGUCUUCUCCUUUCUUCCAUCGCUAGGGUAUGGGCCACCCUAUUAACCAACGGGGAACAAAGAGCUUGUUAAUAACCGUCAAGGAAUCUCCUUCCACUAGAAAACGACGGAAACCCAUGUUAAUCGCAAAAAGCAAUGCUCUUUCACAAGCUCUCGCUUCAGCCAUGAACGCAUCAACCACACCAUUAAAUAGAUAAGUUUCUGCUCCUACAUAUUCCCCUUUAUAAUAUCUGGCUAUUACUGCUGAUGUAGAAGUUCUUGAGUCACUUUGAAAUGUUGCAUUGAAAUUUAUUUUGAUGACACCCAAAUCUGGUGGACUCCAAAGUGGUUCUGAUAACUAUCUGUAAAAAACUCCCAUCUUUUCUUGACAUUGGCUUUACUCUUGACUAUAUCCACGAAUGAAGCCUAAAAGAUCGUGCAGAGAAAAUUUAAUACCUUCAUUGAUUAGCUUAUUUCUUCUGUACCACAAAGCCCAUAUAGAGAUAGCAAUAAGAUGUUUGCUUUGUUCAUCUGCUAUACAAAAAGUAUUAACAAAAAUAUUUUUGCAGCUCGAACUACUAUUAGUAGGAGCAGUUUGGAUUUGAAGGGACGCCCAUGCUUUCUUAAGGGCUUCGCAGGACCAUAGAAGAUGAUCCAUGUCUUUUGGUGCCUUCUUCCAAAGAGGACAAGAAACAUCAACCCUCAGAGUUCUAUGUGACAAGUUACUGUAGUGGGGUAGAAAAUUGUUAAGUAAUCUCUAUAAGUGUAUUUUAAUUUUUUCAGGAAUGCGCAUAGGCCAAAAAGACUUGUAAAAGUCCUUGUAAAUCUCAAAAUUAGGCGUAAUGUAACUAUUACUCUGUAAAUAA